GACGAACGCUGGCGACGUGCCUAAUACAUGCAAGUCGAACGCUUCUUUUUCCACCGGAGCUUGCUCCACCGGAAAAAGAGGAGUGGCGAACGGGUGAGUAACACGUGGGUAACCUGCCCAUCAGAAGGGGAUAACACUUGGAAACAGGUGCUAAUACCGUAUAACAAUCAAAACCGCAUGGUUUUGAUUUGAAAGGCGCUUUCGGGUGUCGCUGAUGGAUGGACCCGCGGUGCAUUAGCUAGUUGGUGAGGUAACGGCUCACCAAGGCCACGAUGAAUAGCCGACCUGAGAGGGGGAUCGGCCACAUUGGGACUGAGACACGGACCAAACUCCUACGGGAGGCAGCAGUAGGGAAUCUUCGGCAAUGGACGAAAGUCUGACCGAGCAACGCCGCGUGAGUGAAGAAGGUUUUCGGAUCGUAAAACUCUGUUGUUAGAGAAGAACAAGGAUGAGAGUAACUGUUCAUCCCUUGACGGUAUCUAACCAGAAAGCCACGGCUAACUACGUGCCAGCCGCCGCCGUAA
rnacentral:rRNA from 1 species